rnacentral:lncRNA from 1 species
AUGACAAAGGGGCACCAGCUACCCCGCCUCUCUUCCCUCUGGGCCCCUGCAGUCACGGCCCUGGAGAAAAGGCCACUGCUGCUUCUGACCCUCGUCCUGGGCCUGGCCAGUGCCCAGGAGACUCUAGAAGAAGUGCCAGUGCAGCCAGCCUUCGAUGCCCAGAAGGUGGAGGGACGCUGGCUGACCGUCCAGCUGGCCUCCAGCCACGCACACCUGGUGUCCCCAGACGACCCCUUGAGGCUCGCUCUCCAUUCCAUCCGCAGCCGGGACGGGGACCUGGAGCUCAUCUUAUUCUGGACAGGAGAGGGGGUGUGCGAAGGCGUAAACGUCACCAUCCAUCCAACUGGGCUCCAAGGCCAGUACCAAGGCUCCUUUGAGGGAGGCGGCAGCAUGCACGUCCGCUUCGUCAGCACCGACUACAGCAACCUCAUUCUUUACGUCCGCUUCGAGAACGACGAUGAGACCACCAGCCUGUGGGCGCUGCUGGCCAGAAGAACGGUCGGGGACCCCGCAUGGCUGGGGAAAUACCUCAAGUAUGUCGCAGAAUUCCAGCUGCAAAAAGCCCCUGUCUUCAACCUCGAUGCCCAGUGCCCCCCACCUGAAGCCUAGGUGGGCCCAGCCCCUGCGUCUUCCUGCUGCCUCCCUUCCCGCCCUGCUGCCCUCGCCGCCCUCUCCCAGCCUUCCCCACAGCUUGCCCAGGGGCAUUCUGAACUCCUCUGCCACCCGAAGAAGCCCCUCCAGCCUGGGCCCGGACCCUGCCUCUCUGUGCCCCAUUCCCAGCCUCUCCUAGCCUGGCCCACGGGCUUGAGCACACCCUGGAUGGCGAGGAGGGGACGGGUGGUCCCCCAAGCUCCCGGCAGCAGUCAGCACAGUGUUACAGUCCAGCAGAUGGAGUCACCCUCUGUGUCCUUCAGGGACGGCUGUGAGGGGCCGGGCUGGCACUCCUCUGACCUGCCUUCACCUGCAUCCUGCUCUGGGGCGGCUCCAGAGAGGUGCUCUGGGCUCCGUGAGCCAGCACAGCACGUCCCUGCCCAGGUCAGAGGGGCCCUGAGUGGCCGUAGCGCCAGCCCAUGCCUCCAGAAGAGCCAGGCGAGCACAGGCCCGUGUACCUGCCCAGCAGGUGAGCUGUGACGGGUCACCGCCCUCUGCUCAGAGCCGAGGUGGGGCUGGGGCCUGGGUGGAAGUUACCAACUGCUGCCCAGGCGGCCACCCACCAGCAGGACAGGCUCUUAGGAAACUGGGUUGGGGCCUUGAUACUUAUCGUCUGGAAAUGCCAGAGACAGGUGUGACCAGGUCCUGCCCAGAAUCGUCCUCAGCAAGGGCAAGGCCCCCGGGAGCCCACACCUCAGCGAGGCGACUUCCACUGCUGCCAUGGCCAGCCACGCGAGGCCAGCAUGAUGGAGCGAACCGAUUGGCCACCUGCGUGGCUUCCACCUGCAGCGCACGCACAAGCUGGGGGUGAGCAGGUGCUUAGAGCGCAAAAGCUUUCCUGGGAGCCAGCAAACCCAAUCAGAAAAACAUAGCGGACAAUUAUGACCACAAAGCACACACUCCUGUAGUCAGCGAGCAGCUGCUGAAUUCGCAUGGAGAGACUUAAGCACAUCUCCUUACUCUGCGACCCUGAAAACUGGCUUGAAUAAUAAACAUGUGAGAUCCCUGCA